UCGAGAAUAUUCCACAAUGGGGGAAACCCUGAUGGAGCGACGCCGCGUGCAGGACGAAGGUCUUCGGAUUGUAAACUGCUUUUCUAAAAGAGAAAGUCCCAAUGUAAAUUGGGAUUGAUAGUACUUUAGGAAUAAGGGGUGACUAACUACGUGCCAGCAGUAGCGGUAAUACGUAGACCCCGAGCGUUAUCCGGAUUUAUUGGGCGUAAAGCGUGUGUAGGAGGUUUGACGCGUUAACCGUAAAAUUUCACCGCUCAACGGCGAAGCUGCGGUUAAAACGGUCUUACUUGAGGAUGUCAGAGGUCAUUGGAACGUACGGUGUAGGGGUGAAAUCCGUUGAUAUCGUACGGAACACCAAAGGCGAAGGCAAAUGACUGGGGCAUUCCUGACUCUGAGGCAC
rnacentral:rRNA from 1 species